rnacentral:rRNA from 1 species
UACGAAGGGGGCUAGCGUUGCUCGGAAUCACUGGGCGUAAAGGGUGCGUAGGCGGGUCUUUAAGUCAGGGGUGAAAUCCUGGAGCUCAACUCCAGAACUGCCUUUGAUACUGAGGAUCUUGAGUUCGGGAGAGGUGAGUGGAACUGCGAGUGUAGAGGUGAAAUUCGUAGAGAUCAGGAAGAACACCCGUGGCGCAAGCGGCCACCUGGCCAAGAGCUGACGCUGAGGCACGAGAGCGUGGGGAGCGAACCGG